rnacentral:rRNA from 1 species
GACGAACGCUGGCGGCGUGCCUAAUACAUGCAAGUCGAACGCUUCUUUCCUCCCGAGUGCUUGCACUCAAUUGGAAAGAGGAGUGGCGGACGGGUGAGUAACACGUGGGUAACCUACCCAUCAGAGGGGGAUAACACUUGGAAACAGGUGCUAAUACCGCAUAACAGUUUAUGCCGCAUGGCAUAAGAGUGAAAGGCGCUUUCGGGUGUCGCUGAUGGAUGGACCCGCGGUUCAUUAGCUAGUUGGUGAGGUAACGGCUCACCAAGGCCACGAUGCAUAGCCGACCUGAGAGGGUGAUCGGCCACACUGGGACUGAGACACGGCCCAGACUCCUACGGGAGGCAGCAGUAGGGAAUCUGCGGCAAUGGACGAAAGUCUGACCGAGCAACGCCGCGUGAGUGAAGAAGGUUUUCGGAUCGUAAAACUCUGUUGUUAGAGAAGAACAAGGACGUUAGUAACUGAACGUCCCCUGACGGUAUCUAACCAGAAAGCCACGGCUAACUACGUG